rnacentral:rRNA from 1 species
AGAGUUUGAUCCUGGCUCAGGAUGAACGCUAGCGGCAGGCUUAAUACAUGCAAGUCGAACGGGAUUCGGGGUAGCAAUACUUUGAUGAGAGUGGCGCACGGGUGCGUAACGCGUAUGCAACCUACCUUUAACAGGGGAAUAGCCCCGAGAAAUCGGGAUUAAUACUCCGUAACAUUGCGGUGUGGCAUCACACUGCACUUAAAGCUGAGGCGGUUAAAGAUGGGCAUGCGUGACAUUAGCUAGUUGGUGAGGUAACGGCUCACCAAGGCAACGAUGUCUAGGGGUCCUGAGAGGGUUAUCCCCCACACUGGUACUGAGACACGGACCAGACUCCUACGGGAGGCAGCAGUAAGGAAUAUUGGUCAAUGGGCGCAAGCCUGAACCAGCCAUGCCGCGUGCAGGAAGACGGCCCUUGGGUUGUAAACUGCUUUUGUCAGGGAAUAAACCCCCGCUCGUGAGCGGGGCUGAAGGUACCUGAAGAAUAAGCAUCGGCUAACUCCGUGCCAGCAGCCGCGGUAAUACGGAGGAUGCAAGCGUUAUCCGGAUUCAUUGGGUUUAAAGGGUGCGCAGGCGGAUUGGUAAGUCAGGGGUGAAAUCCCACAGCUCAACUGUGGAACUGCCUUUGAUACUGUCAGUCUAGAGUAUAGUUGAAGUUGGCGGAAUGUGUCAUGUAGCGGUGAAAUGCUUAGAUAUGACACAGAACACCGAUCGCGAAGGCAGCUAGCUAAGCUAUAACUGACGCUCAUGCACGAAAGCGUGGGGAUCAAACAGGAUUAGAUACCCUGGUAGUCCACGCUGUAAACGAUGAUUACUCGAUGUUGGCGAUACACAGUCAGCGUCUGAGCGAAAGCAAUAAGUAAUCCACCUGGGGAGUACGAUCGCAAGAUUGAAACUCAAAGGAAUUGACGGGGGCCCGCACAAGCGGAGAGCAUGUGNUUAAUUCGAUGAUAACCGCGA